AGGGCAUAGAGGGACAUGUGCUUCUUGCCCUCAGCAAUUUAAUCAGAGGUUAGAUCCUGAUGGAUUUCAUAUGAAACCAAACACCAACAGAUUUCUCCCAAGCACUUGAACUCCAUAAAUAACAUCUGUGCAUUGCAGCAUAAUGAGGUGGGGAAGAGGAAGGACUCUGGAAUCAAGCUGCCUGGCUCUGCUACUUCUUUGCUGUUCAACAUCUUUGUGCCUUAGUUUCUCCAUCUAUAAAAUGGAGACCGCAGUAGCACCUGCUUCACAGGGUUGCUGUGAGGACUGAAUCCCUGCUAGGGAAACACUUGGGAAAGUCCUUGCCUCAGGAAGCACACAGACUCCACAUUUUAAAGAGAACACAAAACAACUGCAGAUCCAGCAGCUCCUUAGAGUAUCAGCUCUGCUGAACAUUAGAACCUGGAAACUUAAUGUUAACAUGGAUGCCUGAGGUUCAUCUCAAAACCAUCAGGUCAGAACCUGUGGAGCAAAAGGUUUCGUUGUUUCUGAUUGGCUGGUUGAGUCAGGACUCUAUACCAUGAAAGAGGAUGAUGCCAGAUUCAUAAAUAGGAGUAAAGCCAUCAGGAGAUGUGAUGUCAUCCACCACCG